CGCAUCUUCUCACUCAUAGGUGGGAAUUGAACAAUGAGAACACAUGGACAUAGGAAGGGGAGCAUCACACUCUGGAAACUGUUGUGGGGUGGGGGGAGGGGGGAGGGAUAGCAUUGGGAGAGAUACCUAAUGCUAGAUGACGAGUUAGUGGGUGCAGCGCACCAGCAUGGCACAUGUAUACAUAUGUAAUUAACCUGCACAUUGUGCACAUGUACCCUGAAACUUAAAGUAUUAAAAAAAAAAAGUUCUAUUGGCUGAGUGAUUCUUAUAUUUCAGAACUUUAUUUCAUUUAUUCUUACAACUUUGUAAGGUGUAUUUUAUUCCCGUUCUACAAAUGAAUAAACUUGCAAAAUCAAAUAGGUAAUCAAUGAUGGCUCCAUAAUAAUUCACAUGGAAACUUUGCUUUAAAAGUGUAAUUCAGGCAAAAUUCAUUCCAUUAGAAUUUGAGUGUUCACUCAGUAUUAAGACAAUUCAUAAAACUUUUAUAAUGACACUCUACCUCUGCCUUCAAUGAACUUUAAUUAUAAUUAGUUUAGAACCUAAGCCUCUAAUUAUUUAUGCAUACCAUUUUUAAAUGCUUUAGAAAAUAUGAUGAUUUGUGAUUUUAGAGCAGGAAUGAACCUUAAUAAUUUUCUAUUCCAGUUUUCUGUCCCCUUCCUUUUUUUUUUGAGAUGGAGUCUCGCUCUCUUGUCCAGGCCGGAGUGCAGUGGCGCAAUCUCGGCUUACUGCAAGCGCUGCCUCCGGGGUUCACGCCAUUCUCCUGCCUCAGCCUCCCAAAUAGCUGGGACUACAAGUGCCCGCCUAAUUUUUUUUUUGUAUUUUUAGUAAAGACGGGGUUUCACCAUGUUAGCCAGGAUGGUCUCGAUCUCCUGACCUCGUGAUCCAUCCACCUCAGCCUCCCAAAGUGCUGGGAUUAUAGGCGUGAGCCACCAUGCCCAGCCCUUCCUUCAUUUUUAACCAAUGAAAAAAGAAGGAAAAAAAAUAUCCAAAUGUAUAUGUUUCCUUGGUAGUGACCUAAGACAGACUCAGGACUUUUGAUUUCCAGUCCACUGUUAUUUCUUUUUCUUUUCAUUUUUUUGAGACAGAGUCUUGCUCUGUCACUCAGGGUGGAGUGCAGUGGGGCGAUCUCGGCUCACUGCAACCUCCGCCUUCAGGGUUCAGGCCAUUCUCCUGCCUCUGAUGCCCAAAGUGCUGGGUUUACAGGUGUGAGCCACUGCGCCUGGCCUUAUUUCUUUAUAAAGCCAUUACAAUGAAAAAAAUAAUCUUACCAUUCUUUAAUGUCCAUAGUGAUCAUCACUGAGUUAUUCUAAUAACUUUUUCCAUAAUACUCUGAAUUUUGCAUAUAUAUGUAAGAAACCAUUAGAAUAUUACAAUAAAAGUUAAUAACUCAGUUCUCAAAGACUUAUUAGGAAUGUUCUUUGUUUUAGCAUAAGUUUGAACAGUGUAUUUAUUUAGAAAAUAUACAGAUUUACACAAUAGUGGAUGAUACCAUCAUGCAGGGUGUAGAGAAGCUGGAAUUAAGUGUUUGAGCCACAUGGGAGAAGCAGCUCUCCUGCUCCUGGUGGUGUUUUUACAGAAGGUGUUGACAAGCUCUCAUUUAGUACUGUUGCUAAUCCUUGCCACAAUGGAUGAAAUGAACAAAAGAAAACUGGCUUGUGCCAGUCACCUGAGCCAAUAAAUUGUUGCCUUAAAGAGCUGACUACAGGCUGGCCGCGGUGGCUCAUGCCUGUAAUCCCUGCACUUUGGGAGGUCAAGGCGGGCAGAUCACCUGAGGUCAGGAGUUCGAGACCAGCCAGACCAACAUGGAGAAACCCUGUCUCUACUAAAAAUACAAAAUAAGCCAGGCAUGGUGGCGCAUGCCUGUAAUCCCAGCUACUUGGGAGGCUGAGGCAGGAGAAUCGCUUGAACCCAGGAGGCGGAGGUUGCGGUGAGCUGAGGUCACACCAUUGCCCUCCAGCCUGGGCAACAAGACGAAACUAGUUCUGUAAAACUUAUGCAACCACCAUUAACAAACUGUCAAGGCAUAAAAACACGAGCAGCUUAAUGAACUUAGUCUUAACAUUGACUUAAUUGUGUUUUUAGAGACAGAAUAACUAACCAGGUUGGGACAGAGACACCCAUUUCUUUCUAGACCUCAGAAGAGCAUGAACUCGGAGAGCGGUUAUCAAUCCACUAGCACAAAGUUUACCAGUAUCUUCAUGAGGAGUGGUCAGUCAAGAGGACAUUGGGCACCUGAAAAGUCCUACACACAGAGAACUAAGAGAGGUCGCAACAUAGUUCUUUAAUUUUACCCCCUUCCUUUGAAAUUUUAAUUGUCUAAUUAUUAGGUUGGUGCAAAAGUAAUUGCAGUUUUUGUGAUUACUUUUAAUAAAAACAAAAAACAAGAAGCCACAUGGCAGCAAAAGAAGUAUGCCUUCUGUAUCUGAGGAUGUUGCUGAUAGAGCUAGCAAGAUAGAAAAAUUUGUAUUAUAAUAAAUGAUUUGUAAUAAUUCUAAGCACCCAGGAGGUUUACAACAGUGAUUCUAGGUAGCACAUUAAGAACUACACACAUAUUCUUUGCAAAGAAGAAAAAAUGUUUAUGAUUAAACUUCGUUAGUUUUCUUCCCUGAAUUUAAUACUUUUCCAGAAUUAAAACAGAAGAACUAGCACUAUCCUGAGCCCUAGAUUUAACCUUCCGAUGUCCAGAAAUUCAUUACAAUAGAAAGCAAAGUGAUUGUUUUCCUUUCUGUAAUUAGCUUUCCCUGCUAUAUUUUUCGACAGGCAAUAUUCUAAUUGUGCUAGGCUUGCCAUUCCAUUUCUGGCAUAGUUAGAGUGAUUUUAAGUUUACUGCUUUAGUGAUAAGUUUUUUAGUUCGGGCUCAAUAAUUAGCACCUGAACAUGGAAAACAUUAAAUUAAAAAAAUGGAAAUUUACCAAAGUAUUUGUUUAUAAAAAUUAUAGAAUUCACAGAAACGUCUUUAGCUUCUCUAGUCUUCAGUAGUUAUAUCAUUUUUAUAGAAAUAACAAAGUAUUAGUAUAUUACUCAACAGUAAUGAAAUAUUUCUGAAUGAAAACUGUGUAGCCCUUAUUUAAGUACCUAAUUUGAGGUUUUCCUUUCCAUUGUGAAAUAGUGAUUUUGCUUUGAAAAAUAAUUGAGAUUAGUUUGCUGAUGCAAUAUUUUUCUACCACUGUCUCAUUUCGAUUUUAAAUAAUAAAGCUAAUGGUGUGUCUCUCACCAAUACUGAGCUCUACAAACCUAUGUGUCUCUUACUGAAGAGCUUCGUUUUGAAAUUACUUUAUCUAUUAUUAUAAUUGGUACAGUUUAAGGUUUUGUCUUUAGAGAAUUUUUUAAAGGUUUUAAAAUCUAUUUUAAAUGGGGCUUUUUAGUAUAAACUGGACACAAGGAACACUUCAGUUCAUGGGAUAACUUUUUUUCUCUAUUAAGGUGUUCCCUUAAUUCUAAAGUAAAGGCAUGGUAGCAAGUUUAAAAGAGAGGUCAAGCUGAUCUACGAUGUGAUUUUUUAGGCUUCUGGUUAAAAAUAGAUUUAUGGCUAUGUUAAUAAAAUGUGCAUUUAUUAUUUCUACAUAUUUUUUUAAAACUAGGCAUUUCAUAGGUGUACCAUAAUGACUAGUUAAAAAUGGAAUCAAAGUGAAGUGAACAAAUGGCCUAAGUAUUCUUUGAAAUAUGGCAGAAUAUAAGUACCUUAGGUGACGAAAGGACAGCCAAGACAGCGUGAAAGGAAAACAUAUAAAAUGUACAAGGCACUGGAGAGAAGUUAUACAUGAUCGCUGCCUUCAUAAUAGAUUCAUUGAUAUACAAUGUGAAUAAGGGUUGACAAAUACCAGUUGAAUAAACAAUUAUUAAAAAGUUUCAAGUGGAAGCCUCCCAUAUUUCUCCACUAUAUUUUUGCAAGUGCUUAACAAAACAAAACAAAACAAAACAAGGGUUUAGGGUGGGGAGGGGAAUAAAACAAUAAUCAAAAGUCUCCCCUAAUUAUCACAGUCAGGCCUGAAUUAGUAACCUUGAAUAUCAAACACAAACUCUCAAAGUAUAGGACAGAAACAACAAAACAAGUAAUUAUUAAGCACCUACUACAUGCCAACUACAGUUCUAAGAAUUGAAACAAAACAAAACAAAAAGGGCAAGGAGAAACGAAAAGAUAAGACAAUGAAAGAGAAGUCGAAGUCAGGCCCGGCACGGUGGCUCACGCCUGUAAAUCCCAGCACUUUGGGAGGCCGAGGCUGGUGGAUCACUAGAGCCCAGGAGUUCAAGACCAGCCUGGCCAACAUG
rnacentral:lncRNA from 1 species